GACGAACGCUGGCGGCGUGCCUAAUACAUGCAAGUUGAGCGCUGAAGGUUGGUACUUGUACCAACUGGAUGAGCAGCGAACGGGUGAGUAACGCGUGGGGAAUCUGCCUUUGAGCGGGGGACAACAUUUGGAAACGAAUGCUAAUACCGCAUAAAAACUUUAAACACAAGUUUUAAGUUUGAAAGAUGCAAUUGCAUCACUCAAAGAUGAUCCCGCGUUGUAUUAGCUAGUUGGUGAGGUAAAGGCUCACCAAGGCGAUGAUACAUAGCCGACCUGAGAGGGUGAUCGGCCACAUUGGGACUGAGACACGGCCCAAACUCCUACGGGAGGCAGCAGUAGGGAAUCUUCGGCAAUGGACGAAAGUCUGACCGAGCAACGCCGCGUGAGUGAAGAAGGUUUUCGGAUCGUAAAACUCUGUUGGUAGAGAAGAACGUUGGUGAGAGUGGAAAGCUCAUCAAGUGACGGUAACUACCCAGAAAGGGACGGCUAACUACGUGCCAGCAGCCGCGGUAA
rnacentral:rRNA from 1 species